rnacentral:rRNA from 1 species
UACGAAGGGGGCUAGCGUUGUUCGGAAUUACUGGGCGUAAAGCGUAUGCAGGCGGAUCAUUAAGUCGGGGGUGAAAUCCCGAGGCUCAACCUCGGAACUGCCUUCGAUACUGAUGAUCUUGAGUCCGGGAGAGGUGAGUGGAACUGCGAGUGUAGAGGUGAAAUUCGUAGAUAUUCGCAAGAACACCAGUGGCGAAGGCGGCUCACUGGCCCGGUACUGACGCUGAGACGCGAAAGCGUGGGGAGCGAACAGG